UUUGACAGAAGCUCUGACCGAAGAGAUCGACUCUCUGACCACACAGAACAGACAAGUCUCCCUAGAGAAGGGUUAGAAUGCCUGUAAAUACAGUAUAUUCAUAAUCAGACCUUUAUACUCAUUUCAGGGUUUGAUAUUUUUUCUUUUUAUUUCAGUGUUAUCCUAAAUUUACAUUUUUGUUCUUGACAUCAUUAACUUUAAUUUCACCAAAAGGAAAGAUUACUUAACAUCACAGAACUAGUCUUUUUUCUUUAAUGGCUUUUUAAAAUGUAUUGAGCAUCAAAAGAUGAGUAACACUGAGUAUAGAAGAGUUUGGUUGAUCAGCUGUUUCUGGUGUCUUAUUGACGGAGUGCCUGUGGCCCUGAAUGAGCUGGUUCGUGAGACAGCAGGUUGAAGCCUGAUGUUAGAUACUAUCAGUCCUGAUGGGAGACGCAGACAGUAGCGGUGUGGCCCCUUAUCAGGAGAACAGCGCGGUGCUGGAGGCUGGACUGGUCUCCCCAGAGCCAGCUCCUCUGUAGG